AUUGAACGCUGGCGGAAUGCUUUACACAUGCAAGUCGAACGGCAGCACGGACUUCGGUCUGGUGGCGAGUGGCGAACGGGUGAGUAAUGUAUCGGAACGUGCCCAGUCGUGGGGGAUAACGUAGUGAAAAUUACGCUAAUACCGCAUACGAUCUAUGGAUGAAAGAGGGGGAUCGCAAGACCUCGCGCGAUCGGAGCGGCCGAUAUCAGAUUAGGUAGUUGGUGGGGUAAAGGCCCACCAAGCCAACGAUCUGUAGCUGGUCUGAGAGGACGACCAGCCACACUGGAACUGAGACACGUUCCAGACUCCUACGGGAGGCAGCAGUGGGGAAUUUUGGACAAUGGGCGAAAGCCUGAUCCAGCCAUUCCGCGUGCAGGAUGAAGGCCCUCGGGUUGUAAACUGCUUUUGUACAGAACGAAAAGGUUUCUACUAAUACUAGGAGCUCAUGACGGUACUGUAAGAAUAAGCACCGGCUAACUACGUGCCAGCCGCCGCAGUAA
rnacentral:rRNA from 1 species